UAAAUUAUAUUUUAAGAAAAUAUUUUAUUUACAUUAAAAAGAUAGUUGUUUAAUUCAAUUUAAUUUAA
rnacentral:tRNA from 1 species